AUUUAAAGGCGGCAGCAGAGGGUAAUUAUACGGGAGGCAGCAGUGGGGAAUACUGGACAACGGGCGAAAGCCUGAUCCAGCAAUGCCGCGUGAGUGAUGAAGGCCUUAGGGUUGUAAAGCUCUUUACCCGGGAGAUAAUGACGUACC
rnacentral:rRNA from 1 species